rnacentral:rRNA from 1 species
GAUGAACGCUGGCGGCGUGCCUAAUACAUGCAAGUCGAGCGAACAGACGAGGAGCUUGCUCCUCUGACGUUAGCGGCGGGCGGGUGAGUAACACGUGGAUAACCUACCUAUAAGACUGGGAUAACUUCGGGAAACCGGAGCUAAUACCGGAUAAUAUAUUGAACCGCAUGGUUCAAUAGUGAAAGACGGUUUUGCUGUCACUUAUAGAUGGAUCCGCGCCGCAUUAGCUAGUUGGUAAGGUAACGGCUUACCAAGGCGACGAUGCGUAGCCGACCUGAGAGGGUGAUCGGCCACACUGGAACUGAGCCACGGUCCAGACGCCUACGGGAGGCAGCAGUAGGGAACCUUCCGCAAUGGGCGGAAGCCUGACGGAGCAACGCCGCGUGAGUGAUGAAGGUCUUCGGAUCGUAAAACUCUGUUAUUAGGGAAGAACAAAUGUGUAAGUAACUAUGCACGUCUUGACGGUACCUAAUCAGAAAGCCACGGCUAACUACGUG